UACGUAGGGUGCGAGCGUUGUCCGGAAUUAUUGGGCGUAAAGGGCUCGUAGGCGGUUUGUCGCGUCGGGAGUGAAAACUCAGGGCUUAACCCUGAGCCUGCUCCCGAUACGGGCAGACUAGAGGUAUGCAGGGGAGAACGGAAUUCCUGGUGUAGCGGUGAAAUGCGCAGAUAUCAGGAGGAACACCGAUGGCGAAGGCAGAUCUCUGGGCCGAUAUUGACGCUGAGGAGCGAAAGCGUGGGGAGCAAACAGG
rnacentral:rRNA from 1 species